UCCCCAGUGGGCUAAUGGGUCAGCCACUGGCCUUCUAAACCAGUGAUUAUGGGUUUGAGUCCCACCUGGGGUG
rfam:Pelodiscus sinensis unplaced genomic scaffold scaffold3027, whole genome shotgun sequence.